AUAUCAAUAAGCGGAGGAAAAGAAACCAACAGGGAUUGCCUCAGUAACGGCGAGUGAAGCGGCAACAGCUCAAAUUUGAAAUCUGGCCUCUUUAGGGUCCGAGUUGUAAUUUGUAGAGGAUGCUUCGGGUGUCGGCUCCGGUCUAAGUUCCUUGGAACAGGACGUCAUAGAGGGUGAGAAUCCCGUAUGUGACUCGGCGGCCUUCGCCAGUGUGAAGCUCCUUUCGACGAGUCGAGUUGUUUGGGAAUGCAGCUCUAAAUGGGAUGGUAAAUUUCAUUCUAAAGCUAAAUACUUGGCCAGAGACCGAUAGCGCACAAGUAGAGUGAUCGAAAGAUGAAAAGCACUUUGGAAAGAGAGUCAAACAAGUAC
rnacentral:rRNA from 1 species